rnacentral:rRNA from 1 species
GAUGAACGCUGGCGGCGUGCCUAAUACAUGCAAGUCGAGCGAACAGACGAGGAGCUUGCUCCUCUGACGUUAGCGGCGGACGGGUGAGUAACACGUGGAUAACCUACCUAUAAGACUGGGAUAACUUCGGGAAACCGGAGCUAAUACCGGAUAAUAUAUUGAACCGCAUGGUUCAAUAGUGAAAGACGGUUUUGCUGUCACUUAUAGAUGGAUCCGCGCCGCAUUAGCUAGUUGGUAAGGUAACGGCUUACCAAGGCCACGAUGCGUAGCCGACCUGAGAGGGUGAUCGGCCCCACUGGAACUGGGACACGGUCCAGACUCCUACGGGAGGCAGCAGUAGGGAAUCUUCCGCAAUGGGCGAAAGCCUGACGGAGAAACGCCGCGUGAGUGAUGAAGGUCUUCGGAUCGUAAAACUCUGUUAUUAGGGAAGAACAAAUGUGUAAGUAACUAUGCACGUAUUGACGGUACCUAAUCAGAAAGCCACGGCUAACUACGUG